rnacentral:rRNA from 1 species
UACGUAGGGUGCGAGCGUUGUCCGGAAUUAUUGGGCGUAAAGGGCUAGUAGGCGGUUUGUCGCGUCGGGAGUGAAAUCCACUGGCUUAACUGGUGGCUUGCUUUCGAUACGGGCAGACUGGAGGUAUGCAGGGGAGAACGGAAUUCCUGGUGUAGCGGUGAAAUGCGCAGAUAUCAGGAGGAACACCGGUGGCGAAGGCGGUUCUCUGGGCAUGUCCUGACGCUGAGGAGCGAAAGUGUGGGGAGCGAACAGG